ensembl:lncRNA
AUGUUGAAGCAGCUGUGGUCAAAUACUGCGGUGUACAGUAUUUGUGACAGUAGUCUUCUGUUUUUCUAUGAUGGGCAGGUAUAUCAGCUUCAGUUUGAGCUGCGCAAAGCCCAGACAGAGACGGACUUCGAGAGGCAGCGCUCGCUCAAGUGCACCACUCCCAGCGAGACGCAGCAACUGCGGGAGGAGAUUAGCACUCUGCGCCGGCAGCUACUGGUGGUCGAGAAAUUCACCCCGGCGCGUGAGGAUAUCCUGGCCCAAGACCUGGCUGAGGCGAGGGAGCAGGCUGAGCAGCUCAGGUGCCACAGAGAGGAGAAUGAACAGCUGGCCCGCGAGAUGCGGGAGGUGUGUGUGUCUAGGAGAUUGUGAACAACCCUGUUGAGUUGGCCAUUUUAUUCAACAGCAAAUAUCUGCUGAAAGGCUAUAUGCUUUGUCUUACACAGUACAUUUUAGAGUGGCCAAACUCUAAACACUGCGUGGGUGUGUUUGCUCUUAGAUGGUGGAACAUAAGGAGUGUCUGGCGCUGCAGGUUCAGAAGCUGACUCUGGACUGUGAGAUGUACCAGCAGAAGAGCACUGUCAUACAGAGCCAACUGAGGGAGCUACAGGCAGAGAGAGACCACGUACGAAGCUAUUACCUUAUACCUUAUUGCUCAUCCUGAAAUCUAUUAUUGGAAUGCCAUACCUGUCUGUCUGUCUGUCUGUCUGUCUGCCUGCCUGCCUGCCUGCCUACAUACCUGUCUGUAUAUCCUGCCUGUCUGUCUGCCUAUAUCCACCUAUCUGCAUACUGACCUGCCGGCAUAUCUGUCUUUGCUAGUCAGUCCACAUACACUGAGUGUACAAAACAUUAGGAACACCUGCUCUUUCCUUGACAUAAACUGACCAAGUGAAUCCAGUUGAAACCUACCUCUUAUUGAUGUCACUUGUUAAAUCCACUUUAAUCAGUGUAGAUGAAGGGGAGGAGACAGGUUAAAGAAGGAUUUUGACGCCUUGAGACAACUGAGACAUGCGUAUGUGUGCCAUUCAGAGGGUGAAUGGGAAAGACAAAAGAUUUAAGUGCCUUUGAACGGCGUAUGGUAGUAGGUGUCGGGUUGUGUCAAGAACUGCAACACAGCUGGGGGGGCGGGGUAUAACUCAAUAUCAGGAAGGUGUCCUUAAUGUUUUCAAAACUCAUUGUAUGUGUGUAUGACUUAUUGCCGCCCUAUGUGUCUGUCUGUCCAUCCUUCCAGGCGUACCUGUCCAGAGACGAGGCCCAGGCCCAGAUAGCCAGGAGCCUGGCUGAGAAGGACACGCUGCGCAGCCAACUGGUGGAGCUCCAGGAGGUCUUCACCCUCAGGGCCUGCGGGGCCUACCGAGGAGGCCCCAACACGCCAGGGGUAACACACACACACACACACGGUAUACAUGUGCAUACACACAUGCACAAUGUAUACACACUCACGCACACUCCAUACACACAUUCACAUGGUAUACAGAUUGACUUACAGAGCAGAUUGUAAAUGAGAUACUAAAGACUAAUGUGUAUGUGUCUGUUCCAGGAGAGGACGUUUAGCUGGGAGAGCCAGGGCUCCAGCAGUGACAGCCUUCCCUCCAGCCCCCCACCUCGGCCCCGCCUCCGCCGCAUGCAUGCAAUUUGCCUUGAUUCCUUGGGGGAAUGCAGUAUAAAGGUGUGUGUGUGUGUGUGUGUGUGUGUGUGUGUGUGUGUGUGUGUGUGUGUGCGCGCGCGCGGGCCUACCGAGCGUGCGCAUGCAGGAUUUAUAUCAGUCAUGUCAGCUGUUUAUAUCAUCUGAGUUGACUGUAAUGAUUUGCAUCAUAAACUUGACUUCUGGUAAUUGUGUGUCUGUGUGUAGAGUGGCGAUAUCACUCCAAGUAGUGUCCGGUCCCAAAAUGUGGAGCCUCCAUGCCCAGAGUCACUGCGGAGACGAGAAGAGACCCUAUGGUACAAUCGAGACAGGUAAGGGGUGUGUGUGUUUAAGACAAUGUGUGUGUUUAAGACACAGUCCGACUCCUCAUUCAGAACCAGUUGAACAUUUACACAGUAGCACAGUUGGUGUGCUUCCUUCUAUAUUCCGAGUGAUGUGAUGUCACUGUCCAAAGUCUGCUUUUUUUACCAGGAAGGCCAUGUGUUUACUCUGUGUGUUGCCGGGAAUAGCUUCAUUUCAAGGCUUUAAUCCCAGCGUCCCCGGCACUUCUUUCUGUUCUAGUAACAUGAGACCAUUCUACAACAGAGCCAUUUCACUAUUAAAGCUGUGUAGAGGUAGAUUUGAUCUUCCUAUAAACUAUGUGGGGUCUCUCUCUGUGUCCCAAAUGGCAUUCUAUUCCCUAUAUAGUACAGUAGUUUUGACCAGAGCCCUAUGGGUCCUGGUCAAAAGUAGUGCACUAUAUAGGGAUUAGGGUGCCAUUGGAAACGCACCCUUGGUGGUCAUAUUUGAUCGAGGAUUCAGGUGUUUUUUUAAAAACUAAUUAUAGGUUGUUGUCACAGGUGAAUGGCUGCCCAUGUUCAUGUUUAUUGUCGUAGCUUUGUGUUUACAGUGAAGACAAAAGUCUGU